AAGUCGUAACAAGGUUUCCGUAGGUGAACCUGCGGAAGGAUCAUUACAAUACGUUACUCUUUACGUAUAAACCCAAACGGUUGAACUUGUGAAAAAAAGCGUCCGAUAGGAAUGACAAAAACAAGUGGGUUAAGAUUUUGGCGGCUUUUUGGAAGUGGGUGACCACUUCGGUCAAAGUCGUUUCUCUUGCUUUGCUUUCUGCACUGCGGAAACAAGCAUUAGAAAGCCCUGUUUUUCUUCCUAGUUCGCGUAUUCUUUUAUCCAAAUUUUUAACCCAUUUCACCCAACCUUCCUUUUCUUUAACGAAGAGAACUGAAAUCGAACCCGAGACUGAGGAAACUCGUCUUUGGACAAGAUAUUUACGAAACGUAAGAACAACUCUUAACAACGGAUAUCUUGGCUCUC
rnacentral:misc_RNA from 1 species